rnacentral:snRNA from 1 species
AUUAACCAAACUCUGAUCU